rnacentral:rRNA from 1 species
UACGAGGGGUGCAAGCGUUAAUCGGAAUUACUGGGCGUAAAGCGUGCGUAGGUGGUUUGUUAAGCAAGAUGUGAAAGCCCCGGGCUCAACCUGGGAACUGCAUUUUGAACUGGCAAGCUAGAGUAUUGUAGAGGGUAGUGGAAUUUCCAGUGUAGCGGUGAAAUGCGUAGAGAUUGGAAGGAACAUCAGUGGCGAAGGCGGCUACCUGGACAAAUACUGACACUGAGGCACGAAAGCGUGGGGAGCAAAC